ACAAACGCUGGCGGCGUGCCUAACACAUGCAAGUCGCACGGGGCGCUUUUCUUCGGAGGGGCGUCGAGUGGCGGACGGGUGAGUAACACGUGGAUGACGUAUCCUCGUGUGGGGGAUACCCUCCAGAAAUGGGGGUUAAUACCGCAUACGAUCUUUUGGGUAGGGCCAAGAGAAGAAAGUUUCACUGGCAACGGUGAGGCGCAGGGGGAGCGGUCCUGCGUCCGAUAGCUAGUUGGUGGGGUAAGAGCCUACCAAGGCGGCGAUCGGUAGCUGGUCUGAGAGGAUGAUCAGCCACACUGGGAUUGAGAACGGCCCAGACUCCUACGGGGGGCAGCAGUGAGGGAUCUUCGUCAAUGGGGGCAACCCUGAACGAGCAACGCCGCGUGUGGGACGACGGCCUUCGGGUUGUAAACCACUCUUCUUGGGGACGAGACAGGACGGUACCCGAGGAAGAAGUCUCGGCUAACUACGUGCCAGCAGGCCGCGGUAAUACGUAGGAGACGAGCGGUUGUCCGGAGUUACUGGGCGUAAAGGGUGUGCAGGCGGCCUGGCGCGUCGCGGGGUGAAAUCUCCUGGCUCAACUGGGAGGGUGGUCGCGAGACGGCUGGGCUUGAGGCUCGGUGAGGGGCGUGGAAUUCCGGGUGGAGCGGUGAAAUGCGUAGAGAUCCGGAGGAACACCGACGGCCGUAGGCAGCGCCCUAGACGAGACCUGACGCUCAGGCACGAAAGCGCGGGGAGCGAACAGGAUUAGAUACCCCUGGUAGUCCGCGCCGUAAACGAUGUCCACCAGGUGUUGGGGGUAUCGACCCCUCCAGCGCCGCAGCUAACGUGAUGAGUGGACCGCCUGGGGAGUACGGCCGCAAGGUUAAAACUCAAAGGAAUUGACGGGGGCCCGCACAAGCAGCGGAGUGUGUGGUUUAAUUCGAAGCAACGCGAAGAACCUUACCUGGGCUUGACAUGCGCCUGCACCAGCGGCGGAGACCGUUGUCUGGGCAACCAGCGGGCGCACAGGUGCUGCAUGGCUGUCGUCAGCUCGUGCCGUGAGGUGUUGGGUUAAGUCCCCUAACGAGCGCAACCCCUGGGAUCCGUUACGUGGGUGUCGGGUCCGACUGCCGCGCGCAACGCGGAGGAAGGCGGGGAUGAUGUCAAGUCAGCACGGCCCUUACGUCCAGGGCGACACACACACUACAAUGGCCGGUACAACGAGUCGCCAAGCCGCGAGGCGGAGCUAAUCUCAGCAAAGCCGGUCUCAGUUCGGAUGGCAGGCUGCAACUCGCCUGCCUGAAGCUGGAGUUGCUAGUAACCGCGGGUCAGCAUACCGCGGUGAAUACGUUCCCGGGCCUUGUACACACCGCCCGUCACACCACGAAAGUCGGCAACACCUGAAGCCGCUGGGCUAACUCGGGGGCUCCCCGGGGGGCAGGCGUCGAGGGUGGGGUCGAUGAUUGGGGUG
rnacentral:rRNA from 1 species